UCCCUGGCAGUCCAGUGGUUAGGACUCUGCACUGUCAAUGCCAAGGACCCAGGUUCAGUCCCUGGUCAGGGAA